UCAGCCACCAAUUGUGCAAGUUCUCCCACUUAAAAAGAUCAGAGAGGCCUGUAAUUUUCAUCAUAGGUACACUUCAACUAUGACAGUUGACUGGCUCACUAGCUAACAUUAUGUGUAUGCUCUCCCCUUUCUGGAGGACCGAGUUUUGAAAUCAGGGAAAUUCGAGUAUGGUAGCUAAGGAGAAAACACCAGUCUGGAUUACAUCGUCAAACUAAGGGCAACCAUGCAUGGCAUCAGACAGGAGACGUGUCCAACCAUUAUGUAUAUUGGGAGUCAUGGAGUUGGAGGCUAAUCCGACACCACAUGGAUGUAGACGAGGCAGGGUUUAACUUGGCAAAAACACGUCAGCGUGGACGAAAAGUCAUCGGGAGAAGGCCCACCGUUGAUGUGCCGGGUCAGAGAGGAGAACAUUUCACAAUGUGUGCUGCAGUCUGGAGUGCUGCUUUGGUCCUGCAGAAAUACCAGAUUGGUCCCUACAACACUGAGCGCCUUCUUUUGUUUUGAGACGACCUCCACCAACAACUGGUGCCAGAAGCAGAAAGGGAGGAAACAUGAGGAUAUUUGUGAUUGCGUGGGACAAUGUAGCAUUCCACCAUUCACAUGCAAUCACAAACUGGUCUGCAGCCCAUCCAAGAAUGGUUUCCCUUUUCCUCUCCCCCUACUCGCCUUUCCUCAUCCCCAUUGAGGAAUUUUGUUCUGCCUGGAGGUGGAAAGUGUAUGAUCAUCAGCCACAUGACCAAAUGUCCUUCCUGGAUGCAAUGGAUGCCGUCUGCAGAGACAUCUCAGCUGAAGACUGCCAGGGGUGGAUAAGGCAUGCCAAGCGUUUCUAUCCAAGGUGCAUAGCGAGAGACGACAUAAGAUGUGAUGUGGACGAGAACAUGUGGCCAAAUGCUGAAGAUCCAAUAGAUUAGAACAGGACUGGGCAUUUUGGGUUUUUUUCCUCUUCUGUGCCUAUUUUACUGUAAUUGUGUUAUAUUUUUACACAUUUGGAACCAAAGACCAUGUAUGUUGGAUUUUUUGUUGAUCACUGGCAGCAAUUUCAUGUUGCUAAUAAAGCUUUCACUGCA